CCUACGGGAGGCUGCAGUGGGGAAUAUUGGGCAAUGGACGAAACUCUGACCCAGCAACGCCGCGUGAAUGAUGAAGGUCUUCGGAUUGUAAAGUUCUUUUCUCAGGGAAGAAGAAAGUGACGGUACCUUAGGAAUAAGCCUCGGCUAACUACGUGCCAGCAGCCGCGGUAAUACGUAGGAGGCAAGCGUUAUCCGGAAUGCCUGGGCGUAAAGGGUGAGUCGGUGGUUUGACAAGUCGGUAGCGAAACCCCGGGGCUCAACCUCAGAACUACUACCAAAACUGUCGGACUUGAGUGCAGGAGGGGCAAAUGGAAUUCCUAGUGGAGCGGUGGAAUGCGUAGAUAUUAGGAGGAACACCAGUGGCGAAGGCGAUUUGCUGGACUGUAACUGACACUGAGGCACGAAAGCGUGGGGAGCAAACAGGAUUAGAUACCCCUGUAGUC
rnacentral:rRNA from 1 species